ACCCUUUUUCUCUAGUUUGUGUUCAGCAUCUAUGUCAACUAUGACGCUGAACACAAACUGACACAGAUGCUGAGCACAAACUAGAGAAAAAGGGUCAUAUU
rnacentral:pre_miRNA from 1 species